AUACGGAGGGUGCAAGCGUUACUCGGAAUCACUGGGCGUAAAGGAUGCGUAGGCGGAUAAUCAAGUCAAAAGUGAAAUCCCACGGCUUAACCGUGGAACUGCUUUCGAAACUGGUUAUCUAGAAUAUGGAAGAGGCAGAUGGAAUUAGUGGUGUAGGGGUAAAAUCCGUAGAGAUCACUAGGAAUACCGAUUGCGAAGGCGAUCUGCUGGGACAUUAUUGACGCUGAGGCAUGAAAGCGUGGGGAGCAAACAGGAUUAGAAACCCCAGUAGUCC
rnacentral:rRNA from 1 species